rnacentral:tRNA from 1 species
UGUUCUGUGGCUUAGUUGGUUAAAGCGCCGGUCUAGCGAAUACGCAGUCGUGGGUUCGAAUCUCACCAGAACGA